GAAGGUGUGCUGUGAGGCAUGCUGGAGGUAUCAGAAGUGCGAAUGCUGACAUAAGUAACGAUAAAGCGGGUGAAAAGCCCGCUCGCCGGAAGACCAAGGGUUCCUGUCCAACGUUAAUCGGGGCAGGGUGAGUCGACCCCUAAGGCGAGGCCGAAAGGCGUAGUCGAUGGGAAACAGGUUAAUAUUCCUGUACUUGGUGUUACUGUGAAGGGGGGACGGAGAAGGCUAUGUUGGCCGGGCGACGGUUGUCCCGGUUUAAGCGUGUAGGCUGGUUUUCCAGGCAAAUCCGGAAAACUAAGGCUGAGGCGUGAUGACGAGGCACUACGGUGCUGAAGCAACAAAUGCCCUGCUUCCAGGAAAAGCCUCUAAGCAUCAGGUAACAUCAAAUCGUACCCCAAACCGACACAGGUGGUCAGGUAGAGAAUACCAAGGCGCUUGAGAGAACUCGGGUGAAGGAACUAGGCAAAAUGGUGCCGUAACUUCGGGAGAAGGCACGCUGAUAUGUAGGUGAAGUCCCUCGCGGAUGGAGCUGAAAUCAGUCGAAGAUACCAGCUGGCUGCAACUGUUUAUUAAAAACACAGCACUGUGCAAACACGAAAGUGGACGUAUACGGUGUGACGCCUGCCCGGUGCCGGAAGGUUAAUUGAUGGGGUCAGCGCAAGCGAAGCUCUUGAUCGAAGCCCCGGUAAACGGCGGCCGUAACUAUAACGGUCCUAAGGUAGCGAAAUUCCUUGUCGGGUAAGUUCCGACCUGCACGAAUGGCGUAAUGAUGGCCAGGCUGUCUCCACCCGAGACUCAGUGAAAUUGAACUCGCUGUGAAGAUGCAGUGUACCCGCGGCAAGACGGAAAGACCCCGUGAACCUUUACUAUAGCUUGACACUGAACAUUGAGCCUUGAUGUGUAGGAUAGGUGGGAGGCUUUGAAGUGUGGACGCCAGUCUGCAUGGAGCCGACCUUGAAAUACCACCCUUUAAUGUUUGAUGUUCUAACGUUGACCCGUAAUCCGGGUUGCGGACAGUGUCUGGUGGGUAGUUUGACUGGGGCGGUCUCCUCCUAAAGAGUAACGGAGGAGCACGAAGGUUGGCUAAUCCUGGUCGGACAUCAGGAGGUUAGUGCAAUGGCAUAAGCCAGCUUGACUGCGAGCGUGACGGCGCGAGCAGGUGCGAAAGCAGGUCAUAGUGAUCCGGUGGUUCUGAAUGGAAGGGCCAUCGCUCAACGGAUAAAAGGUACUCCGGGGAUAACAGGCUGAUACCGCCCAAGAGUUCAUAUCGACGGCGGUGUUUGGCACCUCGAUGUCGGCUCAUCACAUCCUGGGGCUGAAGUAGGUCCCAAGGGUAUGGCUGUUCGCCAUUUAAAGUGGUACGCGAGCUGGGUUUAGAACGUCGUGAGACAGUUCGGUCCCUAUCUGCCGUGGGCGCUGGAGAACUGAGGGGGGCUGCUCCUAGU
rnacentral:rRNA from 1 species